UACAGAGGGUGCAAGCGUUGUUCGGAAUUACUGGGCGUAAAGCGCACGUAGGCGGCUUUGUAAGUUAGAGGUGAAAGCCCGGAGCUCAACUCCGGAACUGCCUUUAAGACUGCAUCGCUUGAACGUCGGAGAGGUAAGUGGAAUUCCGAGUGUAGAGGUGAAAUUCGUAGAUAUUCGGAAGAACACCAGUGGCGAAGGCGACUUACUGGACGACUGUUGACGCUGAGGCGCGACAGCGUGGGGAGCAAACAGG
rnacentral:rRNA from 1 species